UAAUACAGAGGGGGCAAGCGUUGUUCGGAAUUACUGGGCGUAAAGGGCGCGUAGGCGGCCCGCUAAGUCGAACGUGAAAUCCCUGGGCUCAACCCAGGAACUGCGUCCGAUACUGGCAGGCUUGAAUCCGGGAGAGGGAUGUGGAAUUCCAGGUGUAGCGGUGAAAUGCGUAGAUAUCUGGAGGAACACCGGUGGCGAAGGCGGCAUCCUGGACCGGUAUUGACGCUGAUGCGCGAAAGCCAGGGGAGCAAACG
rnacentral:rRNA from 1 species